CACUGUGUUUGCUAGGGUCACCGUAAAUCGUGGCCUGGUGCAGUUGAUCUCACGAUCUGCUCCAUCGAUCCGCUUUGCCAACGCCUGCAACUCAGUCUCGGCCCCGAUAUCCGGUGGCUGCGAUUUAUUUCACAUUGUUUCAGGAGUUUCAAAGAUGUCUGAUCGUCAGAGCGGUACCGUCAAGUGGUUCAACGAUGCCAAGGGCUUCGGCUUCAUCACCCCGGAAAGCGGCCCGGACCUGUUCGUGCACUUCCGUGCCAUCCAGGGCAACGGCUUCAAGUCGCUGCAGGAAGGCCAGAAGGUGACCUUCGUCGCCGUGCAGGGCCAGAAGGGCAUGCAGGCUGACCAGGUGCAGGCGGUCUGAUCCGCUUGCUGCCGUAAGGUAGCCAGAAACGCCGGAAGCGAAAGCUUCCGGCGUUUUU
rnacentral:other from 1 species